rnacentral:rRNA from 1 species
GGCAAGAGAUGAGCCCGCGUUGGAUUAGCUAGUUGGUGGGGUAAAGGCCUACCAAGGCGACGAUCCAUAGCUGGUCUGAGAGGAUGAUCAGCCACAUUGGGACUGAGACACGGCCCAAACUCCUACGGGAGGCAGCAGUGGGGAAUAUUGGACAAUGGGCGCAAGCCUGAUCCAGCCAUGCCGCGUGAGUGAUGAAGGCCCUAGGGUUGUAAAGCUCUUUCACCGGAGAAGAUAAUGACGGUAUCCGGAGAAGAAGCCCCGGCUAACUUCGUGCCAGCAGCCGCGGUAAUACUGAAGGGGGCUAGCGUUGUUCGGAAUUACUGGGCGUAAAGCGCACGUAGGCGGAUCGAUCAGUCAGGGGUGAAAUCCCAGGGCUCAACCCUGGAACUGCCUUUGAUACUGUCGAUCUGGAGUAUGGAAGAGGUGAGUGGAAUUCCGAGUGUAGAGGUGAAAUUCGUAGAUAUUCGGAGGAACACCAGU